AUUUCCUACGGGGGGCAGCAGUGGGGGAUAUUGCACAAUGGGGGAAACCCUGAUGCAGCGACGCCGCGUGAGUGAAGAAGUAUUUCGGUACGUAAAGCUCUAUCAGCAGGGAAGAAAAUGACGGUACCUGAGUAAGAAGCUCCGGCUAAAUACGUGCCAGCAGCCGCGGUAAUACGUAUAGAGCAAGCGUUAUCCGGAUUUACUGGGCGUAAAGGGAGCGUAGGCGGCCUGCCAAGUCUGAUGUGAAAAUCCAGCGCUUAACGUUGGAAGUGCUUUGGAAACUGCCGGGCUAGAGUGCAGGAGGG
rnacentral:rRNA from 1 species